CCGCCCCCGAGCCCCGGGCGGAAGGGGCGGCGGGCUCCGGAGGGCCCUCCCCGGCCCGCGGCUCCCGGGGCCGCCGGCUCCAUCCCGCGUCCCGGGCCUGCCUUGUCCCCGCGCCCAAAAGCGCGGCCGCCCGGGGCCUGCGGCGCAAACGCCUGUUGCCCUUGGCAGCCUGUGCCCAGAGGCCGGAGUGUGGACGGAAAUGUGGAAAGCCCUGACACAGAAAACACGAGAAACACGAGAAAAAGUUCACAGAGUUGCAAAGAUAUCUUCUCAAGGGAGCGCCAACAAGAUUUGCUGACAAAUUGAAUGUGAAGUAUGAGAGGAAGAGAGGAAGCAAGGAUGACUGCAAGAUUUAUUGGCCUUUAUAACUGGAAGGCUGAAGUUGACGUCAGCUAGCAUUGGGAAGGCUGCAAGCGGAGUAGCCCAGAGAGUGAAGGCAUGAGACUGGAAGAGAUCAACAAAGACGCAGAGUGAUUGGAGAUCAAAGGAGCCCCAGGAGUGACCCCAGGAGGUUCCAAUUUCAAGGUCAAGAGAUGAGAAGAAACAAUCAGUAAUCCAGGAGGAAAAUGAGGUGACGUGGGAGACUAGGGUGUGCUCGAAGCCAAGUGAAAGGAGUAUUUCAGGAGGACAGAAUAGUCAACACUUUGGCAAAUAUUGCAGAUCUGUCAAGUAUGAUGAAGACUGAGAGUUGACUGUUAGAUCUUGGAUUAGCCUUAUAAGGACAGAUUUGGUGGCAUGGUGGGGGCAAAGGUCUGGUUGGAGUGGGUUCAAGAGAGAACGAAAGGAAUAAUUGGAGAUGUGGAAUAGAGAAAACUCUUUUUAAAUAGUUUUACUCUAAAACAGGGUUUCUUAACCUCAGCAGUAUUGGCAUUUUGGACCAGGUAACUCUUUGUUG
rnacentral:lncRNA from 1 species